AAAUAAACCACUCCAUUGCAGAAAAGCGUGGGCAGGCAGGACUUCACUCCACUGCAGCCCCGGGAAGUCGAAAUAAACAUUGAGAUGGCUUGGCAUCUUCUUCCGAGCAAGCGCAGCUCUCAGGCCGGGCCUGAGCCUGCAGCCUGUGUGCCCUCCAUCAUCAGGGCCCCCUCUCAGGACAGGCUACACCGAGGGUGGGACGGCGGACUUCCAGGGACACUUCCAAGUCGUGCCCAUGCAGAUACCUCAGUAUACACUGCCCACAGUUAAGAAACCACGACCUGAGACAUUGUUUUGAAGAGGUGAAAAUGCCUCCACUCAAGUGGCCCAGGAGCGUGAUCCAGGAAGACGAACACACAGAACCAUCUUCUGCAUGGUUUGAAAAUUCAGUGGAAACUAGGACUCCAAGCUGCUGUCCCCUCUCUGCCGCAUCUGAGGCUGGGAAAACUUCCUAGGAGAAGGCAAGAGAAAGCCACCAGACCAGAGCCGAGGACUAAACUUUAAGGUCGAAGACGGCAGAGGGGCAGGUUCUCCCCUGCACACCCCAAGGCCUCUCCUGCACCCGCGAGGCCUUCCUUGAGCGCCCAGGCCCCCGAAAUGCCUGCCCUCCUUCUGACAAAAGGAGGGGGUAGGAUGUGAAGGGGUAGUGCAACCAACAAUGUUUUUGUAAACACAACAACAGGGAAAUACAUGGAGGAAAUCUA
rnacentral:lncRNA from 1 species